rnacentral:tRNA from 1 species
UCUUUCUAGUAUUAAAGGUAGUAUAAGUGGCCUCCAACCACCCGGUCUUGGUUUAAAUCCAAGGAAAGAUA